GCUCCAUCACCAAUAAGUGCUGUCUGAUCGCCGGGCGGAGGCCCCACUGGAAUUUCCUGGCCUUUCGGCCCUCAUCCAACAAUGUCUCCGGGGCAUGUCGGCCCAGCUCCAGGAACUUGUGGGCAUACUCCGACACUGUCAUAUUACCCUGGACCAAUUGAGCAAAUUCUAUUUCCUUUAAAUGUUGGAUGUGUUUAGGAAGAUACUCCGCAUGGAAUGCCGCUAGGAACUGCUCCCAAGUAACUGGU
rnacentral:lncRNA from 1 species